GACCGGGUAGGCCAACUGGUAGAGCCGGCAGGUCGAGAGCCUGCCCAGUGUGGGUUCGACUCCCACUCCGGUCA
rnacentral:tRNA from 1 species